rnacentral:rRNA from 1 species
UCCGUAGGCAGCAAGCGUUGUUCGGAGUUACUGGGCGUAAAGGGCUCGUAGGGGGCCGACUAAGUCAGACGUGAAAUCCCUCAGCUUAACUGGGGAACUGCGUCUGAUACUGGAUGGCUUGAGUUUGGGAGAGGGAUGCGGAAUUCCAGGUGUAGCGGUGAAAUGCGUAGAUAUCUGGAGGAACACCGGUGGCGAAGGCGGCAUCCUGGACCAACACUGACACUGAGGAGCGAAAGCCAGGGGAGCAAACGGG